GAUGAACGCUGGCGGCGUGCCUGAUACAUGCAAGUCGAGCGAACUGAUUAGAAGCUUGCUUCUAUGACGUUAGCGGCGGACGGGUGAGUAACACGUGGGCAACCUGCCUGUAAGACUGGGAUAACUUCGGGAAACCGAAGCUAAUACCGGAUAGGAUCUUCUCCUUCAUGGGAGAUGAUUGAAAGAUGGUUUCGGCUAUCACUUACAGAUGGGCCCGCGGUGCAUUAGCUAGUUGGUGAGGUAACGGCUCACUAAGGCAACGAUGCAUAGCCGACCUGAGAGGGUGAUCGGCCACACUGGGACUGAGACACGGCCCAGACUCCUACGGGAGGCAGCAGUAGGGAAUCUUCCGCAAUGGACGAAAGUCUGACGGAGCAACGCCGCGUGAGUGAUGAAGGCUUUCGGGUCGUAAAACUCUGUUGUUAGGGAAGAACAAGUACGAGAGUAACUGCUCGUACCUUGACGGUACCUAACCAGAAAGCCACGGCUAACUACGUGCCAGCAGCCGCAGUAAUAC
rnacentral:rRNA from 1 species